rnacentral:tRNA from 1 species
UGGAGUAUAGCCAAGUGGUAAGGCAUCGGAAUUUGGUACGAGCAUGCAAAGGUUCAAAUCUUUUUACUCAAG